rnacentral:rRNA from 1 species
AUUGAACGCUGACGGCAGGCCUAACACAUGCAAGUCGAACGGUAACAGGAAGCAGCUUGCUGCUUUGCUGACGAGUGGCGGACGGGUGAGUAAUGUCUGGGAAACUGCCCGAUGGAGGGGGAUAACUACUGGAAACGGUAGCUAAUACCGCAUAACGUCGCAAGACCAAAGAGGGGGACCUUAGGGCCUCUUGCCAUCGGAUGUGCCCAGAUGGGAUUAGCUAGUAGGUGGGGUAACGGCUCACCUAGGCGACGAUCCCUAGCUGGUCUGAGAGGAUGACCAGCCACACUGGAACUGAGACACGGUCCAGACUCCUACGGGAGGCAGCAGUGGGGAAUAUUGCACAAUGGGCGCAAGCCUGAUGCAGCCAUGCCGCGUGUAUGAAGAAGGCCCUCGGGUUGUAAAGUACUUUCAGCGGGGAGGAAGGGAGUAAAGUUAAUACCUUUGCUCAUUGACGUUACCCGCAGAAGAAGCACCGGCUAACUCCGUG